rnacentral:rRNA from 1 species
GAUGAACGCUAGCGGGAGGCCUAACACAUGCAAGCCGAGCGGUAUUGUUUCUUCGGAAAUGAGAGAGCGGCGUACGGGUGCGGAACACGUGUGCAACCUGCCUUUAUCUGGGGGAUAGCCUUUCGAAAGGAAGAUUAAUACUCCAUAAUAUAUUGAACGGCAUCGUUUAAUAUUGAAAGCUCCGGCGGAUAGAGAUGGGCACGCGCAAGAUUAGCUAGUUGGUGAGGUAACGGCUCACCAAGGCGAUGAUCUUUAGGGGGCCUGAGAGGGUGAUCCCCCACACUGGUACUGAGACACGGACCAGACUCCUACGGGAGGCAGCAGUGAGGAAUAUUGGUCAAUGGGUGCAAGCCUGAACCAGCCAUCCCGCGUGAAGGACGACUGCCCUAUGGGUUGUAAACUUCUUUUGUAUAGGGAUAAACCUACCCUCGUGAGGGUAGCUGAAGGUACUAUACGAAUAAGCACCGGCUAACUCCGUGCCAGCAGCCGCGGUAAUACGGAGGGUGCAAGCGUUAUCCGGAUUUAUUGGGUUUAAAGGGUCCGUAGGCGGACUUAUAAGUCAGUGGUGAAAGCCUGUCGCUUAACGAUAGAACUGCCAUUGAUACUGUAAGUCUUGAGUAUAUUUGAGGUAGCUGGAAUAAGUAGUGUAGCGGUGAAAUGCAUAGAUAUUACUUAGAACACCAAUUGCGAAGGCAGGUUACCAAGAUAUAACUGACGCUGAGGGACGAAAGCGUGGGGAGCGAACAGGAUUAGAUACCCUGGUAGUCCACGCCGUAAACGAUGCUAACUCGUUUUUGGGCUUUAGGGUUCAGAGACCAAGCGAAAGUGAUAAGUUAGCCACCUGGGGAGUACGCUCGCAAGAGUGAAACUCACAGGAAUUGACGGGGGCCCGCACAAGCGGUGGAUUAUGUGGUUUAAUUCGAUGAUACGCGAGGAACCUUACCAAGACUUAAAUGGGAAUUGACAGCUUUAGAAAUAGAGCUUUCUUCGGACAAUUUUCAAGGUGCUGCAUGGUUGUCGUCAGCUCGUGCCGUGAGGUGUUAGGUUAAGUCCUGCAACGAGCGCAACCCCUGUCACUAGUUGCCAUCAUUCAGUUGGGGACUCUAGUGAGACUGCCUACGCAAGUAGAGAGGAAGGUGGGGAUGACGUCAAAUCAUCACGGCCCUUACGUCUUGGGCCACACACGUAAUACAAUGGCCGGUACAGAGGGCAGCUACACAGCGAUGUGAUGCAAAUCUCGAAAGCCGGUCUCAGUUCGGAUUGGAGUCUGCAACUCGACUCUAUGAAGCUGGAAUCGCUAGUAAUCGCGCAUCAGCCAUGGCGCGGUGAAUACGUUCCCGGGCCU